ACAAGUAACAUUGAAUAGCUACUGAGCAUUUAGAAUGAAACAUAAAAUGAAACUAGUUAGCUUUUAGAAUGAAACAUAAAAUGAAAGAGUUCAAUUCUUACAAUCUCUAAACGAUAGUGUAACAUAACAGUGCGCAAGUCACAACUUCUCACGAUUUGGGAACACACGAUUUGGAACCCUAGCGGCGCGCCGUAACUUCUCAUUCCGGCCACCGUCACGGUCAUUUUCGGACCUCUGUUACUGUCGUCUUCUUCCAUGGCUACACUUGCUGAUACUUUUCUUGCUGACCUUGACGAACUCUCUGAUAACGAAGCUGAAAUCCCUGCAGAUAAUAAUGUCGAUGCUGCAGAUAUGGACGAAGAUGUUGAUGGUGAUCUGGCUGACCUAGAAAACCUCAACUAUGAUGACUUGGAUAGUGUUUCUAAGUUGCAGCAAACCCAAAGAUACAUUGAUAUUGUACAGAAAGUGGAAGAAGCCCUUAAAAAGGGUUCAGAUGUCACAAUUCAGGGAGUAGAUUUAGAAGAUGAUCCUGAAUACCAAUUAAUUGUGGAAUGCAAUGCGUUGUCGGUUGAUAUUGAGAAUGAAAUUGUCAUUAUUCACAAUUUUAUUCGCGACAAGUAUCGCUUGAAAUUUCCAGAGCUUGAGUCACUAGUUCAUCACCCAAUCGAUUAUGCACGUGUUGUUAAAAAAAUAGGAAAUGAAAUGGAUCUGACUCUUGUUGAUUUAGAAGGGCUUUUACCCUCAGCCAUUAUCAUGGUUGUCUCAGUUACAGCAUCGACUACGACAGGCAAGCCACUUCCAGAAGAAGUCCUUAGUAAGACAAUUGAGGCAUGUGAUCGAGCCCUUACUCUUGAUUCAGCGAAGAAGAAUGUACUUGAUUUUGUUGAGAGCAGAAUGGGUUACAUUGCACCUAAUGUUUCUGCUAUAGUUGGGAGUGCUGUUGCAGCUAAACUCAUGGGAACAGCUGGUGGCCUAUCUGCUCUUGCAAAGAUGCCUGCUUGUAAUGUUCAGCUUCUUGGAGCCAAGAAAAAAAAUCUUGCUGGGUUCUCGACUGCAACGUCACAAUUUCAUGUAGGUUACCUAGAGCAAACAGAAAUAUUUCAAACUACUCCUCCUCCUUUAAGGAUGCGAGCAUGCCGACUCCUGGCUGCAAAGUCUACACUUGCGGCACGAGUAGACUCAAUACGUGGGGACCCAUCUGGGAAAACUGGAAGAACUCUCAAGGAUGAGAUCCACAAAAAAAUUGAGAGGUGGCAAGAGCCCCCUCCUGCUAAGCAACCCAAACCACUUCCAGUGCCUGAUUCUGAGCCUAAAAAGAAGAGAGGUGGUCGUAGGCUUAGGAAAAUGAAGGAGAGGUAUGCAAUAACGGACAUGAGGAAGUUAGCCAAUAGGAUGCAAUUUGGAGUUCCCGAAGAGAGCUCUUUAGUGAAAAUAAGGAAUUAAGGAUUAGAUAGAAGGAGAAAAGAGGAGUAUCAGUAAUGCCACUUUGAAAAAUUGUGAUAUUAUAAUUAGCAAACUCCAUGUUAGUCAUGACUAUGCUGGAUCAUGUUAAAGAAAGCGCGAAUCAGAAUAAUGGCUUGCAACAUGCUGUAACAACGGAUUUGGUACAAAGGGGAUGGUCUGGGUGAGGGUUAUGGAAUGCUUGGUCAGGCUGGCAGUGGCAAGCUUCGUGUGUCAGUAGGUCAAAGCAAACUUGCUGCAAAAGUUGCUAAAAAAUUUAAGGAAAGGAGUUAUGGUAGCAGUGGUGCUACAUCUGGUUUAACCUCAAGUCUUGCAUUUACACCAGUGCAGGGGAUUGAGCUGACAAAUCCACAGGCUCAUGCACACCAACUUGGUAGUGGAACUCAAAGCACCUACUUCUCUGAAACAGGAACAUUUUCGAAGAUCAAGAGGACUUGAAGCUAUGCAUGAAUCCAAAUUCUUGUUCUUUCUCCUGAAUUGCUGAUGGUAAACGUACCAGUAAAUUGUUGAUGCUGGGCGAUUGCUUGAUAGGUCUGCGGUAGGUUUUUGUAGCAGAGCCAUAUAUGCUGUUAAUUAAUUAUGUGUUACUCUGAUUUCCUCUCCAGAGUGUAGCCAUAUAUCAUAUAUGACUUUUUUCUGGGUAAGAUUUAUAUAUAUUUUUAAUUUACUUUUACCUUUAGAAAAAACAUAUAAUAUUCGUUGUAAUAUUGAAAUGAUGAUCAAUCUAUACCAAUUUCAUGGGAUAAGUUAACAACACAAUGAAAUUGGAUUUGGUACUUAACAA